rnacentral:rRNA from 1 species
ACUAUCAGCUUUAGCAAAAUUUACACAUGCAAGUAUCCGCACCCCUGUGAGAAUGCCCUACAGUUUCCCUCCCCGGAAACAAGGAGCUGGUAUCAGGCACACCCCCACCUAGCCCAUGACGCCUUGCUUAGCCACACCCUCAAGGGAAUUCAGCAGUGAUAAACAUUAAGCAAUAAGUGAAAACUUGACUUAGUUAAAGCUUUCAGAGCCGGUUAAACUCGUGCCAGCCACCGCGGUUAUACGAGAGGCUCAAGUUGAUAGCCUUCGGCGUAAAGCGUGGUUAGGGGCCCAGCCAAACUAGAGCUGAACCUUCUCAAGGCUGUUAUACGCACCCGAGAAAAUGAAAAACAAUCACGAAAGUAGCUCUACCCCCUCCCCGACCCCACGAAAGCUGUGAAACAAACUGGGAUUAGAUACCCCACUAUGCACAGCCAUAAACUUUGAUAGAGCAUUACAACCACCAUCCGCCCAGGUACUACGAGCAUUAGCUUAAAACCUAAAGGACUUGGCGGUGCUUUAGAUCCAU